GAGCAGUGGCACUAGUUCACGGCCGCGGUAUCCUAACCGUGCGAAGGUAGCGUAAUCACUUGUUCUUUAAAUGAGGACUAGUAUGAAUGGCAUCACGAGGGCUAUACUGUCUCCUUUUUCUAAUCAGUGAAACUAAUCUUCCCGUGAAGAAGCGGGAAUUUACCUAUAAGACGAGAAGACCCUAUGGAGCUUUAAAUUUUUCUUCAACUGCCCUACUUCUUCUAAAGUUUAUACUUUUCACAACAACUUCGGCACUAUGAGGAUAAAUUUUAGGUUGGGGUGACCGCGGAGCAUAGUAAAACCUCCACACUGAACCGAGCCUAUAAACUCUGAGCAAAGGACAACAACCCGAUGCACUAACAUAUUAACAUUCAUUGACCCAAUAAUUUUGAUCAACGAACCAAGUUACCCUAGGGAUAACAGCGCAAUCUGCUUCAAGAGUUCAUAUCGACAAGCAGGCUUACGACCUCGAUGUUGGAUCAGGGUAUCCCAGUGGUGCAGCCGCUACUAAUGGUUCGUUUGUUCAACGAUUAAAACCCUACGUGA
rnacentral:rRNA from 1 species